GGUCGAGUGCCCGUCCUCCCGCAGGACAACCAGACAGGAAGGAGAGUCUCUGCCCGCCAGAGGAGGCCUGCAGUCUGCAGACAGUGUCCCUGCUGCAGGGACGACCAGGUGCCACAUACAAAGCGCCGGCGCCCUGCUGCUUCUGCAGACCUUCCCCAGAAAAGGAAGCAGACCUCCGCGGCUCUUCCUCCUAAACCUGCUGACCUGCCACCUGUCUCUAAUGUGGCCUCCAGCCCCCGGACCUCCAAUGCUCCCCUGCACCUCGAAGACCCUAUUAGGAUCCACAACCGCUCAGUCGAGGAGUACCAGCUCAUCUACCAUGAAGUUGUGGAUAACAUGCUGAGGUUCCCGGACGGUCGCCUGCGUCCAUAUAGUUUGGGUCUGGGUCGUCGUAUCAAGCAGAAGCUGUGGGAGCGACUGGACCGUCCGAUGUUCACAGAGACAGUGGAUGAAGACGGUCUGGUUCAUGUGGACGUGUCCUACGGUGCUGGAGUCCAGCCUCCGCUCUACAACGUGGAUGUUUCUGGUGAACCAGAGCCCGAAUAUCCACCAGCAAAAAGGGCAAAGCACUAAGACACACUCUCAUAAGCUGACAUGUCUAAUAAUACUGUGCUUUAAGUUUAGUUUAGUUUUUUUUAAAGUAUGGCAGAUAAGUUUAAGUUUAUUAAGUGUAGAGAUACGUUUUUAGUGCCAAGCAUAAGUAUUAUGUGCUAAGUCUUUAGUUUUAAAUAUUUAGUAAUAAGUAUAAGUCUAAAGUGUUAAGAGUAAGUGUUUAGUUUAAGUUUUUAGUUAUAGUAAUUUGUUUGAAGUAUUUCAUAUUAAGUGUUACGUUUUUAGUGCCAAGCACAAGUAUUAAGUGCCAAGUCUUUAAUUUUAAGUAUUUAGUAAUAAGUAUAAAGUGUUAAGAGUAAGUGUUUAGUUUAAGUUUUCUGUUUAAGUACUAAGUUGAAGUAUUAAGUAUUAAGUAUUUAGUGUUAAGAGUAAGUAUUUAGUAGUAAGUAUAAGUAUUUAGUGUUUAGUUUAAGUAUUUAGUAAUAAGUUUAAGUAUUUAGUAUUAAGAAUAAGUAUUUAGUGUUAAGAGUUAGUAUUUAGUUGAGUUAAGUUUACUUUCAUUGAUCUUAAUGUAUCUCACCACUGAUGAAUUGUCUUCCUCUGAAUCAGUUCCUGCUCCUCUGUUAACAGUCUUCUUACUCCAGCUUCAGCCUCAACAGCAACAGUUAUCACCUGCCAGAACACCUGCUCCACCCUCCAGCCUCCACCUGUUACUUCUACCAGACAAAACAUCAGCCUUGAGCUGCAGCCUGUGAGAUGACAGACUCCUCUCCACCUGCAGCCUCUGUCUCUCUGUUGCCUACAUCCUCUACCAGCAGCUUCAGCAUCAAACUGCUGCCUCACUCUUCACCUGCAGCCUCUGUCAGCAACCUGCAGCCAUCUCCUCCAACUGCACAUUCUGUUGAAUGGCUGAUGGCUGAACCUCCAUCUACAGCCUCUAUAAGGAAACCUGCACAGAUGUUAUCCUACUGCCAUGUGGAUACCUGAGUGGAACAGCAAGGACCAGAGAAACACACGUGUUUUCAAACGUUGUGAAAGACUGAGCUCACACUCCUCAACAUGAACCUGACUGACUGUGAUGAUGCCUUCAUGAAACGAGAGAGCUCCACUGUACGUACAGUAUAGCAGUAUGAGAUUUCUUAACAACACUCUGAGUGUAUUGGGAUUUUUAAUGGAAGUUCGGUGAUGAAUUAUAUUU